UUAUGUUGGUGUAUAUCUGGUUUAAUAUUAUCGUUGAGUAAGUGAGUUUGUGUAGUUUUAUUUAAGCCAAGUCUAUGUGCUGCUUAUGAAAGUUUUCAUGCGUUACAUUUAUAAGGUUUUGGUUGUAAUACUAAAAUAUUUAGGACUUAAAAGUAAUGUUCAAUAAGUUUGUGAGUGUGAAGUAAGUUUAGCUCAUGUACACACCGCCCC
rnacentral:rRNA from 1 species